AAGUCUCAAAGAAGUAGCUGAUUCAUAUUAUUAAUUUCUCAAGUCUCAAAAUCAUUCCAAUUUUAUACAGAAUCACAGACAUGAUUGCUAUAAAUUACAAUUAACAAUCAAAUGUUGAUGUUCACCGAGAAAAUGAGAGAGGCCUUUGAGACCCUUGGGAUCAGAAAAAGAUCCGAUAUAGACAUUCAUCGAAGCAGCACACUGAAAGAGCAAAUCAAAAAACAAAACAAUUCAUUAGGUUUUAUCAAUCGGAAAAAAGCCCUAAAAUUAGUAAAUUGAAACAAUUGGGGAGACCUUAUCAGUUUCUAAAGACCAAUUGAGAACUCAUGUCCACUAAAAUGGAGUUUCUUUUCAGGGCGAUCAAAACAUGGAUAGAGGAUUCUCAUUUUGGGAUGUACAAUAAAUGAAACUGAAGCCAACAAAAUAUUUUUUAAAAAAUAAAAAAUCUAUCAACGAACAAAUAACCUGUGAAAACAAAAAUUAAGCAUGGCACAGAGGAAAAACUCAGUCCGGUCAGAUUCAGGCUUGAGUAUACGUUGAUUUUUCUGAGAAUUGACCCCACAUAAAGUACUCGUGAUCAAAAUUAUUAACAUGACUGUAAUAAAAGAGAAAAAAUUACUCUACGAAAUAGUUAUAUAUUGAUUCUUAACAACAUUUAAGUUUCCUUGGUAAACCCUGGAACAAUAAUAAAUGCAUGAAAUUACAUCAACGUUAAACAUUAUGGAAAGAGCACUGAAUCAGGCAUUUCACCAUUCAGAUUACACCUGCAAUCAACUGUGAGUGUGAUAAAAAAGAAGAGCAAUGAGUGAUUGAUUUAUAGUGACUAAUAUUACAUUUGUGCCAAUUGAUGUUCAUUUUCAAACCACAAUGAACGCUCUCAAAAUUUCAAUGUCUUUCUACUCUCAGAAUACAUUUUUCUCCUCCUUAAUAAGCAAUACUCAAAAUACUUGCAGCAGUGACUGCAAUAAACUCAGCCUGGAUAUAGCCAAAUCCAUUCCAUCCUUUAUUGGUCACAUUGAGCACAUUUGCAAUCGAGUCCAUUCACUACUUGCAGAGACAUUAUUUCCAAAUGCAUCUUUAGGAAGUAUCAAAAUUGAGAACAUUAUACACAUUCCCAGAAACAAUGAAUCCACUUUAUAUUAUGACCCUAAUAAAACAAAGAAAAAUUGCAGAAAUUUUUUUCAUUCGAAAUCACACCAAAACAGAGAAAUGGACAACAGUUUGAAAAUAGGCAACUCUCAUUUUUCCAACACUACAAUUUAGCAUAUAUGGAUGUAGAAAGAUUAGAGAUUACCAACUACGCGUUCUUAAACAACGAAAUUAAACCCAAAACAAACAGCAUAAAUCCACAAAUCAAGGACCACCGGAUCGGCUGCCGUUGAGCCGGCGCCAGAGAACACCAUCUCAUGCACCAAUGCCAGCUUAAAAUUUGGUCAAACCAAAAUUCCUCCACUAUACCUCCAAUAUUUUUUCACACCCAUAGCAAACCCACUCACAGUCAACAAAUUCUCUCACUAAUCUCAUCUUCCACCUAAACAGAAUGCCACUGAAUGAGAUACAAAUGUGACCGUGAAGAAGACACUAAAACUUAAUAGAGAAAUGUUAUUUUCAGUCGGUAAAUUAUAGGCCCUUCACUUCAUGGUUAGCCCAAUAUCAUGGCUUAAACAACAACAACAAAAAAAAGAGAAAAAGAACAUAAACAAAAAUACCAAGAACAAAAUAACCAUCAAUAAAAACUAUAAAAUCGAAAUAAAUGCCUGAUGAACAAUUCUAAAGCUGUAAAACAGAAAAAAGGAUAAAACCUUUCGGUGUUUGGUAUUGAGUUAUUUGGAGACUCUGGCUUUCUCAUUCAUGGUAUUGAGUUUUUUGCUACAGUUUGUUAAUGUCAAAUCCCAUUGAAGAAAUUGUUAGAGACCCAAAUGAACAAUUAUAAAAGAGGGGGUAAAAUUUAUACUUGUAAAAGUAUAAUGGAUGUACUGUACCUUCAGUAACCUCCCCAAAGGAAGAAAAAGUAAAGCAACACAUCAACAAUGAUUUCUCGUCCAAAGCAAAGCAAAGUUUGUAAAUGUCAAUGAUUUCUUGUCCACUGAACAUGACAAACCUGUGAACCAAAGAAAAGUUCAAAGCAUAAUCUAAAUUAGAAUAUAGACAGAUUCAAACAUGACAUGAAAGAGAUGAGAAGGGGAGAGAUAAACCGGCAACAAAAAGCGGCGGAAGAAUUAGCCGUCAAUCGGUGUUCUCCAACAGUCAAUAAUUAGCCGUCGUCUGCGCACGGACGGAAGUGAGCACCAAUCAGAGCAUGAACAGAGAGUAGAGAACGGCGGAAGGGAUAAUUUUGAUUUGGGGGGUUUUGAAGGGAAGGAGACAGUAGAGUGCAAGGGAUUUUGAUUUGGGGGGCUUUUGAAAGGGAAUGAGACAGAAGAGUAUACGGGAAGGAACAAAUUUUGGUUUGGGCAGUUAAUUUUUUUUUUUGCUUUGUCUGUAAGAUGAAAUCUGGACCUUUGUUGUACUUUGAAGUGGGGAUAGAUUCAAAAAAAGUCCUGUUUUAUUAUAUAGAUAUGGUAC
rnacentral:lncRNA from 1 species